AAUAAUUCCAGUUACAACCUCCUUUUGGCUGAAGGCUAUAUUGGAGGGUGACUGUGGAGUCGUGGCUCAAUGGUUAUGUUUGCGCGCGCUCUGCAUUGUCACCACUGUAUCUGUCAAACGUGAAAUGCUUUGUGCAUUUUACCUGACCUCGGAUCAGACGUGAAUACCCGCUGAACUUAAGCAUAUCACUAAGCGGAGGAAAAGAAACUAACAAGGAUUCCCUUAGUAACGGCGAGUGAACAGGGAAAAGCCCAGCACCGAAGCCUGUGGCCAUUUGGUCAUUAGGCAAUGUGGUGUUUAGGUCGUUCCACAGAGGUUCUGCUCCAUCCU
rnacentral:rRNA from 1 species